CCAGACUCCUACGGGAGGCAGCAGUGGGGAAUAUUGGGCAAUGGGCGCAAGCCUGACCCAGCAACGCCGCGUGAAGGAAGAAGGCUUUCGGGUUGUAAACUUCUUUUCUCAGGGACGAAGAAAGUGACGGUACCUGAGGAAUAAGCCACGGCUAACUACGUGCCAGCAGCCGCGGUAAUACGUAGGGGGCAAGCGUUAUCCGGAUUUACUGGGUGUAAAGGGAGCGUAGACGGCAGUGCAAGUCCGGAGUGAAAGCCCGGGGCUCAACCCUGGGACUGCUCUGGAAACUGUAAAGCUGGAGUGCGGGAGGGGCAGGCGGAAUUCCUGGUGUAGCGGUGAAAUGCGUAGAUAUCAGGAGGAACACCGGCGGCGAAGGCGGCCUGCUGGACCGUAACUGACGUUGAGGCUCGAAAGCGUGGGGAGCAAACAGGAUUAGAUACCCGAGUAGG
rnacentral:rRNA from 1 species